CAAGGAUUCAAAAAGGACAUAUGAACGACCAUCUGAAACCCUGCAGAGAAACGAAAUGAAACAAGAAUUUGGACAGAAGUUUACUCGUCUGUUGUAUUAAAUUGAGCUGAAAUUCUAGUAUUUUGGUUCAAUAAAUAAAAUCAUUUUAUGACAGCC